AGUCGAGCGAACUGAUUAGAAGCUUGCUUCUAUGACGUUAGCGGCGGACGGGUGAGUAACACGUGGGCAACCUGCCUGUAAGACUGGGAUAACUUCGGGAAACCGAAGCUAAUACCGGAUAGGAUCUUCUCCUUCAUGGGAGAUGAUUGAAAGAUGGUUUCGGCUAUCACUUACAGAUGGGCCCGCGGUGCAUUAGCUAGUUGGUGAGGUAACGGCUCACCAAGGCAACGAUGCAUAGCCGACCUGAGAGGGUGAUCGGCCACACUGGGACUGAGACACGGCCCAGACUCCUACGGGAGGCAGCAGUAGGGAAUCUUCCGCAAUGGACGAAAGUCUGACGGAGCAACGCCGCGUGAGUGAUGAAGGCUUUCGGGUCGUAAAACUCUGUUGUUAGGGAAGAACAAGUACGAGAGUAACUGCUCGUACCUUGACGGUACCUAACCAGAAAGCCACGGCUAACUACGUGCCAGCAGCCGCGGUAAUACGUAGGUGGCAAGCGUUAUCCGGAAUUAUUGGGCGUAAAGCGCGCGCAGGCGGUUUCUUAAGUCUGAUGUGAA
rnacentral:rRNA from 2 species